ACCUUUGCACAGUGGUAGUAUUGUAGCCAGUGAGGUUUAUCUGAGGAGUGAUUAUUGCUAAUUGAACAUGGUAAUACUGUCCAAAUAGAUAUCACUUUAAAGCAAUGUCUGUCAGAAUCCUAU
rnacentral:snRNA from 1 species